GGUAGCCCGGAGAUGGGUACUGAGACAAGGACCCAGGCCCUACGGGGCGCAGCAGUCGCGAAAACUCCGCAAUGCACGAAAGUGUGACGGGGCUACCCCGAGUGCCAUCCGCUGAGGAUGGCUUUUCUUUGGUAUAACUAGCCAUGGGAAUAAGGAGAGGGCAAGACUGGUGUCAGCCGCCGCGGUAAUACCAGCUCUCCGAGUGGUAGGGAUGAUUAUUGGGCUUAAAGCGUCCGUAGCCGGCUUAGCAAGUUUCCUGUUAAACUCAGCGACUCAAUCGUUGGAUCGCGGGAAAUACUACUAGGCUAGGAGGCGGGAGAGGUCAACGGUACUUCUGGGGUAGGGGUGAAAUCCUAUAAUCCCGGGAGGACCACCAGUGGCGAAGGCUGUUGACUAGAACGCGCUCGACGGUGAGGGACGAAAGCUGGGGUAGCAAACCGGAUUAGAUACCCGGGUAGUCCCAGCUGUAAACGAUGCGAGCUAGGUGUUGGGAUGGCUACGGGCCAUUUCAGUGCCGCAGGGAAGCCAUUAAGCUCGCCGCCUGGG
rnacentral:rRNA from 1 species